rnacentral:rRNA from 1 species
UCUGACACAGGUGCUGCAUGGCUGUCGUCAGCUCGUGUCGUGAGAUGUUGGGUUAAGUCCGUAACGAGCGCAACCCUUGUCCUUAGUUACCAGCACGUUAUGGUGGGCACUCUAAGGAGACUGCCGGUGACAAACCGGAGGAAGGUGGGGAUGACGCCAAGUCAUCAUGGCCCUUACGGCCUGGGCUACACACGUGCUACAAUGGUCGGUACAAAGGGUUGCCAAGCCGCGAGGUGGAGCUAAUCCCAUAAAACCGAUCGUAGUCCGGAUCGCAGUCUGCAACUCGACUGCGUGAAGUCGGAAUCGCUAGUAAUCGUGAAUCAGAAUGUCACGGUGAAUACGUUCCCGGGCCUU